rnacentral:lncRNA from 1 species
CUGGAGGAUCGUGUCAGAAAAGCCAUAUGCUACCAAGAGUUCCUGGAGAGAGCCACAAUAAUGUCCGGAAAGGAAUUAAAACUGAAGCACUUCCAUUCCACUGCAGCAAAAGAGACGCUCCAGUUUGCUCAGCUAAAGGCCACAAUCCGUAACAUUUAUCAGAUGAUCACACAUUACAGAAGAGUCUCUGUGGACACUGAGGACACCUUCAAGCAGCUGGAAAUGAUUCAGAAAUAUUUUCAGUUUAUGAGAGCUAUAGAUGAUGAACUGAAGUUCAACAUUAUAACAAGGCCGAAUCGAACUGAAGGGAAUGACAGCGGAGAUUAAGACUCAAGCUCUGUGUAUCCACAGU